rnacentral:rRNA from 1 species
UACGUAGGGUGCGAGCGUUAUUCGGAAUUACUGGGCGUAAAGCGUGCGCAGGCGGUUUUGUAAGACAGAUGUGAAAUCCCCGGGCUUAACCUGGGAACUGCGUUUGUGACUGCAAGACUCGAGUACGGCAGAGGGGGGUGGAAUUCCACGUGUAGCAGUGAAAUGCGUAGAGAUGUGGAGGAACACCGAUGGCGAAGGCAGCCCCCUGGGUCGAUACUGACGCUCAUGCACGAAAGCGUGGGGAGCAAACAGG